GACGAACGCUGGCGGCGUGCUUAACACAUGCAAGUCGAACGGUGAAGCUCCAGCUUGCUGGAGUGGAUCAGUGGCGAACGGGUGAGUAACACGUGAGCAACCUGCCCCUGACUCUGGAAUAAGCGCUGGAAACGGCGUCUAAUACUGGAUACGAGAAGGGUCCGCAUGGGCACUUUCGGGAAAGUUUUUCGGUUGGGGAUGGGCUCGCGGCCUAUCAGCUUGUUGGUGAGGUAAUGGCUCACCAAGGCGACGACGGGUAGCCGGCCUGAGAGGGCGACCGGCCACACUGGGACUGAGACACGGCCCAGACUCCUACGGGAGGCAGCAGUGGGGAAUAUUGCACAAUGGGCGAAAGCCUGAUGCAGCGACGCCGCGUGAGGGAUGACGGCCUUCGGGUUGUAAACCUCUUUCAGCAGGGAAGAAGCGAAAGUGACGGUACCUGCAGAAGAAGCACCGGCUAACUACGUG
rnacentral:rRNA from 1 species